AGAUAAAUAAAUCAAAAACAACCUGGGACAUAAUUGCAAGUUAUUGUUUCCAUAUUAAUCAUCAAUAUAUCCAGUGUUAGCCAAGCAAUUUUCAUUGACGACGGUAUCCGUUUUCCAUCGUAUUAGUGCAUGUGGAUCGGACGACUGGCGAAAACGCAUAAAAAGGGAUGAGUUUUCAAACGCAAAACGAGAUCAUUGCCGACGGAGCCAAAGUGAAUAUAAAAAUAUACGAGUUAAUAAGUGAUUUGGGGGCCCACGCAAAGGACACGCAAGCCUAGCAGCAAUACAGCGCCUGGGUAUGAGGUAGGAAAAAAAACAAAAAAGGGCAGGACACUAAAAAAUUAUUUCAACACUCUACCUCAAAAAUCCUGGCGACAUUUUCCUUCAGCAAGAAUUGUAUUUAAACUCGACAAAAUAACCGCGCUGUUUUAGCUCACGCUGUUUUGCACAAGCAUAAUAAAUGCAAGUCACUGGCACUUCAUCAAGUCGCGGUAAAUGGGAAUUAAUUAUUGAUGUUGAAAAAUAUGUCAAUAUCGGAACGCGGCGCAUGCAUAAUGGCAAAUUUUGUAAUACGUUUAGCUCUAGAAAACAUCGCACAAUUAUUGCCAUCCUUCCUCAAAAGUCUAAAAGCGACAUUUUCUCGGAAAUAAUUCUUGCCAUAUGUUAAACCCGGUAAAAAGCGUAUUAAUGAAGGG
rnacentral:lncRNA from 1 species